rnacentral:rRNA from 1 species
GACGAGGGGUCCUAGCGUUGUUCGGAAUCACUGGGCGUAAAGCGUUUGUAGGCGGCUCUAUAAGUCGGGUGUGAAAUCCCACGGCUCAACCGUGGAAGUGCAUUCGAAACUGCAGAGCUUGAAUAUGGUAGAGGAGAGUAGAAUUCCUGGUGUAGUGGUGAAAUACGUAGAUAUCAGGAGGAAUACCGGUGGCGAAGGCGACUCUCUGGACCAAUAUUGACGCUGAGAAACGAAAGUGCGGGGAGCAAACAGG